rnacentral:rRNA from 1 species
CUCACAUACGGGGGGCAGCAGUGGGGAGUAUUGCACAAUGGGGGAAACCCUGAUGCAGCAACGCCGCGUGAGUGAAGAAGUAUUUCGGUAUGUAAAGCUCUAUCAGCAGGGAAGAGAAUGACGGUACCUGACUAAGAAGCCCCGGCUAACUACGUGCCAGCAGCCGCGGUAAUACGUAGGGGGCGAGCGUUAUCCGGAUUUACUGGGUGUAAAGGGAGCGUAGACGGUUCUGCAAGUCUGAAGUGAAAGCGCGCGGCUUAACCGCGGAGCGGCUUUGGAAACUGUG